rnacentral:lncRNA from 1 species
AUGCCGGGAACUGCAGAGCCCCAAAGAGGUUGUACAGCCCUGGCUCAGAGAGCCCCUAGGUCUGGGCUCCCAGAAGCUUGGAGAUGCUGGGAACUGCAGAGCCCCAAAGAGGUUGUACAGCCCUGGCUCAGAGAGACCCUAGGUCUGGGCUCCCAGAAGAGCUGUAGCUCUUCUCUCCUUCUCAAUGUCCACAGUGUGGUGAGUGGGGGAUGUGUUUCUGCCCUGUUUGUCUUGCAGCUCUUCAAUCCCACUGUUUGGCAGGUACAGAGUUCUUGUCCCAUGUCCAGGAAGAAUAAAGUAGGACAACUGGAGGAGUCUGUCUGCCUCCUGCCAGCAUUGAUCAUGCCAUCCACGGUGCCCAAGGUAUUCAUUCUGAAGAGUACCUGCAGGCCUGCAUCAAGACACCCUUGGCCCCCCAAUUUGGCUUCCCUCUUGUGCUGCAGGCACUCAAAGUUCAGAGGGGGCUGGGGCAGCAAGGAGCUGGCAUGUCAGUGCUGCCCCAAGUGCACGCACACCUGGCCAGAUCAUGACAGUGCCCAGGCUCAGCUUCAACUUUGCUUUAAAAUCAGAGUGGGUGCCAGCAGUAGGGAGAGGCCAAGCAGCAGGAGGAAGCACUCCUGAGCCUGCAGGGGUAGAGGGGGACUUCCUGGGCCCCCAAGGGUGCAGGGAUGCUCAGGUCCAGUGCCAUGGCUGGGCAACUGCUGCUGCGCCCAGAAGGGCAGGGCUCCUACCCCACCAACUUGGAAGUGGGCGGGGCUUUGGCCUGUCAGCUCCCACCAUAUCUGUGGAGCCUGCAGUCGUGGCCACGCCUCUCCUGCUGCAGCCAGCAUCUUCCCAGCAGCUGCUACAGAUGGGCUACCACUGCUAUCAGUACCACACCUUUCUUUUUAAUCACUGUAGAUUUUUUAGUAGGUUUCAAAAUUGAGAAGUGUAAGUCCGUCCUCCAACUUUGUUCUUCCAUUUCAAGAUUGUUUUGGCUAUUUAGAGCCUAUUGCAAUUCCAUAUGAAUUUGAUGGGUUGUUUUUAAUUUCUUAAAAAGUGGCCAUGGAGAUUUUGGUGGGGAUUGCAUUGAAUCUGUACAUAUCUUUGGGUGGGAUUGACAUCUUAACAAUAUUAACUUUUCUAAUCCAUGAACACAAGAUGUCUUUUCAUAUAUGUAGGUCUUCUUUGAUUUCUUUCAGCAAUAUUUUAUUGUUUUCAUUGUACAGGUCAUUCACCUUCCUGAUUAAAUUUACUCUUAGGCGUUUUAUUCUUUUGGGUACUAUUAUAAGUGGUAUUGCUUUCUUAAUUUCCUUCCCAGAUUGUUCAUUGUUGGUGUAUGGAAACAUAAAUUAUUUUGGGAUGUUACAAAUUGUACCUUGCAACUUUUCAGAAUUUGCUUAUUACCUCCAGUAGCUUGUUUUUUGUAGACUAUUUGGAGUUUUCCAUAAUAAGAUCAUGUCAUCUGUGAAUAAAAAUAGUUUUACUUAUCCUCUUCCAAUAUGCCUACCUUUCAUUUUUUAAAAUUUUUCUUCAACACUUGCUCUGGCUAGGACUUUCGGUACUACAUUAAAGAGCAGUGAUGAAAACAGGCUUCCUUAUCUUGUUCUUUGUCCAUAAUGUCACCUCUCAGCUUUUAUUUUAAGAGUCUUUUGCCACAGAAUCCCUGGUUUCCCAGAGAGAGGACAGCAGCUUCCUUUGAAAUUGAGCCUUUGUAGCCAUGUGAACUCCCACCGCUCUAUCUUAAAAUAAGGAACCUGUAAGCCUUUAUAGAGACCAACCAUGCCUAUUCCUAUUCCCAAUAGUCAGUGAGAAAAGAAAGGGACAGAGCCUAGAAAACAGGCUGUGCUUGAUCUAUUGACAAUAAUAAUCAGACCUAACCAUGAAG